rnacentral:rRNA from 1 species
GACGAACGCUGGCGGCGUGCUUAACACAUGCAAGUCGAACGAAGUGGCGAACGGGUGAGUAAUACGUGCGUAACCUGCCCUCCUUUUUGGGAUAAGCCUUGGAAACGGUGUCUAAUACCGACUAAUGCUGUAUGGGCUCGCGGCCUAUCAGUUUGUUUGUGGGGUGAUGGCCUACCAAGGCGGGGACGGGUAGCCGGCCUGAGAGGGUGACCUGCCACAUUGGCACUGAGAUGCGGCCUAGGCGCCUACGGGGUACGGCAGUGUGGGAUAUGGAACAAUGGGCGAAAGCGUGAUGCAGCGACGCCGCGUGGGGGAUUAAGGCUUUCGGGUUGUAAACCUCGUUCGCUAUCGAAGGGGUAGGUGGAGAAGAAGCGCCGGCUAACUACGUGCCAGCAGCCGCGGUAAUAC